GCCGAAAGGGUAUAUACUUCAAAUUAUUACAUAAUUUGAUAAUUGAAUUCCAAAUCGUGGAUUCAGUUUAAUAUAAUGGUAGCAGAACGUUCUGUAAUACGAUUAAAUUACGAAAGUUUAUCAGAAGUGAUAAUGCGGACAUGAGUAAAAAACAGUGUGAGAAUCGCUGCUCAUAGCCCUCGGUUUCCAAUAGUUGAGAUUAUCAAGAUUGGGUUAUACAGCCCCUAAGAAUGAGUAUUUAAUUUAAAUUCAAAUUAAUACGCACAAUGGGGAAAAAUUAAUAAGUGAAAAAAUUAAUUUAAUUCAAAUAAGAAUAAGCUGUACUUAAACUAACACAAGUGGGCUUUAAGUGAUGGUAGAAUUUAUCUUAAGGAACUCGGCAAAAUGACCCCGUAAGAUUGCAAGAAGGGGUGCCAAAUUUAAGGAAAACUACAUAUAGUUUAUUUUGAAGUUGGCUUCAGAAAAGAGGGGGUGUCGACUGUUUACCAAAAACAUAGCUUCCACCAAAAGCCUUUAAGGCUGAAGUAUUGGAGGUGAGGCCUGCCCAGUGGUUGUAUCUAAACCCAUGUGAUUAUGACCCGACCAUCGGUCGAAGAAGUAACAUGAUUAAGGACAAUUAAAUGGCCGCGGUAAAUCUGACCGUGAUAAUGUAGCGCAAUCAAUAGCCAAUUAAUUGUUGGCAAGUAUGAAUGGCGUAACGAAUGCCCCACUGUCUCAAGAUAAAAACCAAUGAAAUUGAAAUCGUAGUGAAGAUGCUACGUACAAAUUGUAAGACGAGAAGACCCCAUUGAGCUUUACUGGAAGCUUAUAUUGUUUUUUUCCAAUUAAUGUGUAGAUUAUGUGGGUACAUUAUGAAAAACCACUCAUUAAUUAUAAAAAAAACUUACUGGGAUAUAAAAAUUGGACAAGUAUAAGCCGGACAGUUUGGUUGGGGCGACCGCCUUCUAAAAAGUAACGAAGGUGUACAUAAGGUAAAUAAUAUAAUAGUAUAAAGUAAAAAGCCUGACAGCAAGGGGGACUCCCGAGCUGACACGGAGGAAAUUAUGAUAAACCAAUAGGUUUUAUGAUUACCCGUCUGUGGGUUAUAAUGACCCGUUAGUUAAGAGUGGAUUUGCUAACGAGCAACGAAUAAAAGUUACCAUGGGGAUAACAGCGUAAUAUCGUUCAAGAGUUCAUAUCGACGACGAUGUUUGCGACCUCGAUGUUGAAUUGCGGUAUCCUAGGGGUGUAGCCGCUUCUAAGGGUUGGACUGUUCGUCCAUUAAAACCGUACAUGAUUUGAGUUCAGACCGGCGUGAGCCAGGUCGGUUUCUAUCUACAAUUUGUUUAGGAAACAUUAGAUAUAACUACAUUCUAGUACGAAAGGACCGAGUGAUAGGUAUCCGCUGGUGUACCAAUUACCUUGGGUUGUUGGGUAGCUACGAUAAAAUUAAGGCUUCAAGAAAAAUGAAGU
rnacentral:rRNA from 1 species